GGCCUAACACAUGCAAGUCGAACGGUAACAGGAAGCAGCUUGCUGCUUCGCUGACGAGUGGCGGACGGGUGAGUAAUGUCUGGGAAACUGCUUGAUGGAGGGGGAUAACUACUGGAAACGGUAGCUAAUACCGCAUAACGUCGCAAGACCAAAGAGGGGGACCUUCGGGCCUCUUGCCAUCGGAUGUGCCCAGAUGGGAUUAGCUAGUAGGUGGGGUAACGGCUCACCUAGGCGACGAUCCCUAGCUGGUCUGAGAGGAUGACCAGCCACACUGGAACUGAGACACGGUCCAGACUCCUACGGGAGGCAGCAGUGGGGAAUAUUGCACAAUGGGCGCAAGCCUGAUGCAGCCAUGCCGCGUGUAUGAAGAAGGCCUUCGGGUUGUAAAGUACUUUCAGCGGGGAGGAAGGCGAUAAGGUUAAUAACCUUGUCGAUUGACGUUACCCGCAGAAGAAGCACCGGCUAACUCCGUGCCAGCAGCCGCGGUAAUACGGAGGGUGCAAGCGUUAAUCGGAAUUACUGGGCGUAAAGCGCACGCUGGCGGUCUGUCAAGUCGGAUGUGAAAUCCCCGGGCUCAACCUGGGAAYUGCAUUCGAAAC
rnacentral:rRNA from 1 species